GACGAACGCUGGCGGCGUGCCUAAUACAUGCAAGUCGAGCGGACUUUCAAGAAGCUUGCUUUUUGAAAGUUAGCGGCGGACGGGUGAGUAACACGUGGGCAACCUGCCUGUAAGACGGGGUUAACUCCGGGAAACCGGGGCUAAUACCGGAUAAUAUCUUUCUUCGCAUGAAGGAAGGUUGAAAGGCGGCGCAAGCUGCCGCUUGCAGAUGGGCCCGCGGCGCAUUAGCUAGUUGGUGAGGUAACGGCUCACCAAGGCGACGAUGCGUAGCCGACCUGAGAGGGUGAUCGGCCACACUGGGACUGAGACACGGCCCAGACUCCUACGGGAGGCAGCAGUAGGGAAUCUUCCGCAAUGGACGAAAGUCUGACGGAGCAACGCCGCGUGAGCGAAGAAGGUCUUCGGAUCGUAAAGCUCUGUUGUCAGGGAAGAACAAGUACCGUUCGAAUAGGGCGGUACCUUGACGGUACCUGACCAGAAAGCCACGGCUAAUUACGUGCCAGCAGCCGCAGUAA
rnacentral:rRNA from 1 species